UGGGGAAUAUUGCACAAUGGGCGAAAGCCUGAUGCAGCGACGCCGCGUGAGGGAUGACGGCCUUCGGGUUGUAAACCUCUUUCAGCAGGGAAGAAGCGAAAGUGACGGUACCUGCAGAAGAAGCGCCGGCUAACUACGUGCCAGCAGCCGCGGUAAUACGUAGGGCGCAAGCGUUGUCCGGAAUUAUUGGGCGUAAAGAGCUCGUAGGCGGUUAGUCGCGUCUGCUGUGAAAACUCGAGGCUCAACCUCGGGCUUGCAGUGGGUACGGGCUGACUAGAGUGCGGUAGGGGUGACUGGAAUUCCUGGUGUAGCGGUGGAAUGCGCAGAUAUCAGGAGGAACACCGAUGGCGAAGGCAGGUCACUGGGCCGCAACUGACGCUGAGGAGCGAAAGCAUGGGGAGCGAACAGGAUUAGAUACCCUGGUAGUCCAUGCCGUAAACGUUGGGCACUAGGUGUGGGGUCCAUUCCACGGAUUCCGUGCCGCAGCAAACGCAUUAAGUGCCCCGCCUGGGGAGUACGGCCGCAAGGCUAAAACUUAAAUGAAUUGACAGGGUC
rnacentral:rRNA from 1 species